rnacentral:piRNA from 1 species
UGGUGAUUCACGCUUGUGCCACUUGG